AACGGCCGCAGUACUCUAACCGCGCGAAGGUAGCAUAAUCACUUGUUCUUUAAAUGAGGACUCGUAUCAACGGCAUCACGAGGGCUCCACUGUCUCCUUUCUCCAAUCAGUGAAACUAACCCCCCCGUGAAGAAGCGGGGAUAACCCCAUAAGACGAGAAGACCCCAUGGAGCUUUAAACCUAGCCACACCCCCACCCCAUAACACCCUUUCAGUAACAGGAGGCCUGUGUGCUCAGUUUUAGGUUGGGGUGACCGCGGAGCAUAAUAAAACCUCCGUGAUGAAUGAGACUAUUCUCUUAUCCAAGAACCACAGCUCUAAGAAUUAGAAUACUAAUUUAAUAUGAUCCAAUAAAUGAUCAACGAACUAAGUUACCCUGGGGAUAACAGCGCAAUCCAUUUCAAGAGCUCAUAUCGACAAAUGGGUUUACGACCUCGAUGUUGGAUCAGGAUACCCCAGUGGUGCAGCAGCUACUAAAGGUUCGUUUGUUCAACAAUUAAAAUCCU
rnacentral:rRNA from 1 species